rnacentral:misc_RNA from 1 species
UCCGAGUUGACCCCGGCAGUCUCCUACGAGUCCCCGGCAUUAUCCGCUGGCAACAUAGGACAAGGGUUGCGCUCGUUGCGGGACUUAACCCAACAUCUCACGACACGAGUUGACGACAGCCAUGCAGCACCUGUGUUCCCGCCAGCCGAACUGAAGGAUCCCGUCUCCGGGACCCAUACGGGACAUGUCAAGGGUUGGUAAGGUUCUGCGCGUUGCUUCGAAUUGAACCACAUGCUCCACCGCUUGUGCGGGCCCCCGUCAAUUCCUUUGAGUUUUAACCUUGCGGCCGUACUCCCCAGGCGGUCUACUUAGUGCGUUAGCUGCGCCACCAAAACCUCAAGGGUCCCGACGGCUAGUAGACAUCGUUUACGGCGUGGACUAC